UACGCAGGGUGCAAGCGUUAUCCGGAAUUACUGGGUGUAAAGGGUGCGUAGGCGGCUAUUUAAGUCAGAUGUGAAAACUCAGGGCUCAACCUUGAGGCUGCAUCUGAAACUGAGUAGCUAGAGUGUGGGAGAGGAAAGUGGAAUUCCGAGUGUAGCGGUGAAAUGCGUAGAGAUUCGGAGGAACACCAGUAGCGAAGGCGGCUUUCUGGACCAUAACUGACGCUGAGGCACGAAAGCGUGGGGAGCGUACCGG
rnacentral:rRNA from 1 species